GGAGAAUGUUAUCACGGGAGACACACGGCGGGUGCUAACGUCCGUCGUGAAGAGGGAAACAACCCAGACCGCCAGCUAAGGUCCCAAAGUCAUGGUUAAGUGGGAAACGAUGUGGGAAGGCCCAGACAGCCAGGAUGUUGGCUUAGAAGCAGCCAUCAUUUAAAGAAAGCGUAAUAGCUCACUGGUCGAGUCGGCCUGCGCGGAAGAUGUAACGGGGCUAAACCAUGCAC
rnacentral:rRNA from 1 species